CGUCACCCAAAUUAUAGAAAAAUGGGAGAAGUAUGCACAGCUCAUUCUUGAGCGGUGCACUCUGCCGAAGGAUGUAAUAUGGGCAAAUGGAAUGGGGAUCAUCCUAUCUUCCCACGUUGAGGGGGAGCGAAGGGAGUUUGGGCUGGGAUCGACUGGCAGAUUCGUGUAAGCGAAGGACAUAUAAGAUAUUUAUAUACAUAUGUAUAUAUAUGACAUGUGUUAAACUUUCUUUCUUCUUAAGCAAUCCCGAGCAGUGGGUACACGUCACUGCUCCUGGUUCUUCAAAUAAAUAAAAAACCAAGAUUUUUUUUUCUCUCCUUAGAGAAAUUCGUCUAUGUGUCAUUAAUUUCUUAUCAUUAGAUGAGAUUCUUCGUAUGAGAACCAAACAUACAUACCAAUUCCUCAUAUCGAUUCUUCACAUGACAUGCAUACAUACACAAAUGAAUAUACUAUUACAUAUAAGCAUAUUUUAUCACCACUCACCCCAUCACCAUAUCAUAAACUUAUUCAUAUAAAAUUGCAUAUUAAUAAAUAAAAAUAAUCCACACUUCUUGCGCACUGCACUUGGAAUUACGAAGAAGUUCUAUAUUUAUCCUUUGUUUUUAAGUUGGUAAAAUUACAUAUUUGGCACCCUUACUACCCAGCUCUGCAAGGGAUGGGUAGUGGGGGUUCCUUCUACUACUCAUGGCACCCUUCGAGAACUGCACAACCGCAGUAAUUCUGCCGAAGAACGAUACAAUUAAAGCCCAUCAUUUCGCCAAGAGCCCAAUCUAUUUGGUAAACCAUAAUUGUACAAAUCCUGCCAUACUGGAACGGAUCAGGUCCCCCAGAAGAAGGCGUCACCCUGCAAAACAUUGCUGGGCAUCUUUUUCCAUUCUCCCAGAAGAUGACGACUUGCCAAAAUACCAACCACUAGACUAUGUAUUUUCCACACAAAUUUUCGCUCAUCAAUAUCUCAUCUUGUUCACGAGAUACAAAUUCAGAGUGAAAAACUACUUACAACAUGAAUUCGUGCACUUGUUGUAUCGCUUGGAAAUACUAAUUGUGGGCGUCUCCCUUUACCCCAAUUUAGAACUUGCGCACGAUUCAAACGUGGGAAGUAUUCGGUUCGAGUAUCAUAACACACAUCUUGACCCAAACAUAAUGACGAUCGAUAGACAACUUUCGAAACCCUGUAUCUAGUCGAAUGCCGAAUUAACGUGGGAUCUUCCUGCUUAGAUAAGUUGCUCAAUAUUGGAAAAAUUACUGCAGAAUUAAACAAGUAUUUCUGGCUGAUGAGACAUCCCAUCACCUUUAACCCUUUUAGACGGGACGCCAUUCGGAAACUAAUUUGCGCUAAGGAAAUAUCUCGCCAUAUGUACAGAGAGUUGUCAAAUGUUUUCAUUUUUACUGAAUUUGCAGCACAUUUACUUGUAGACGACACUUGUUAAAAUAUAUCGACGCGGUAUUUGACAUCCUUCAUUAAUAACAUUAGUGUUCAUGAAGUCGAUACGAUCCCUAUUUUCGAAAGUGUGAAAACCUAUGGUUUAAUCUCUUGUUAAAAUUUAAGCCUGAGACUUUUAUUCUGAGUGCGUUAACAGAUCCGUUCGACUCGAAAACGUGGAUUCUUAUAUUAUUAAAUUUCUCCAUUAUUGUGGAGAAAUUUAACAACUAAUUUAACAAAAUAAUUUUAACAACUCUGUCAAUUAAAUCAAGUUUUGACGGGGUGUUAAUAACAAUUACGAUAUUCCUCGAAAAUUCGGUAUUGGAUCGGGAAAAGCAUUUUCAAUCAAGAUUCCCCAUAAAUUCAGACAUCCUUGGGAUUCGAUUCUUACUCGGGAUCUGGGUUUUAUUAAGUGCAAUAACGUUAACAAAUUGGUAUAAAACUUCCUUCACGAUGGAUACGAUUGUUCCAACGAAGUAUAAUCCACCAUGGAGCACAUUUCUCGAUAUUGAAGCGCUUUGUACCACUGUAAGGAACGGGUGAAAGUGGGAGAAAGUAUGAACACGACCGACUCGAGUGAGUUGCAACCAAAGACUGAAGACUUUAUUAUGGUAAGGUUCAGCAUUACUGCUGACACUACACCCCUCUGGUUUUAAUUCAUAAAUUUACAAAUGAAUUAUGCACUAGACACAAAUAAAUACAAGUUGUUAAUAACUUAUUAAUAAUUAAUGUAAACACGCUUUUCUAACAAAAUUACAGUUUUGUAUAAAUUUUAAGCACAAUAAAUACUGCUGCACAGCAGCUGACUGACACCCUACUCUCGUGGUUGGGAGUAGAUACAUAUAUAUACACCACACAAACAUCAUGAGGGAUUAUCGUAUGGCGAGUUGCAUUGCGUGUCAUUUCGUCAUUAACUUAAAUCAAUGUAAGAACAAAGUACGACUCGAGUAUUAAAAUUAAUGGAUGCCAUAACUGCAGAGCUGGUGCAACUUUAUUCAUGCAUUUAGAAACGGAUGGAUGUCCUGCCACAGCAACCUUGGAAUGCCUCAAAGCAUCAUUCUUUACGUCUAUGCAAAUCCCAGCUAAAGCUACAACGUUGCAAAUAAUUAUGAACUUGGACCACCCAGACAUUGAUCUUGAGUGCACAGCUAAGUGUGGAUCAUCAUACCUCCCGUUACACAUUAAAGGCCAUUUAGAGUACCUGCACUAUAUUGAUAUGAGAAGCUAUCAUUCAGAUGUCCAUCAUGAACCAAUGAUGGAAAAGCUGGCAAAAUUUCGUGCAGUUUACAGAGACUUUGGUCUCUGAGUUGAAUUGAGUGUAAAAAUUCGUUAGAAAUGGUGAAAGUUAAAUUGGAAAGUGUACUAGUACAUCAAGUGAUAGAUUUACUACAACUAGUUAGUCAGUUCGCACCUGCCCAAAACUGCAAAUCUUCCAAAGGUGUAGUGAAAAAAUUAAAAACGGCGACCUCCAGUGAUGCUGAAGUUGCAGCAUUGCAGAAAUUAAGCAAUUUAAAAAAAAAAAGUGCUUGCAUACGUGUACUGUAUAUGUAGCUAUACACAGUUUUGCAAAAUUUGCCGUAAUCAAUGAAUCCACAGUUCUCCUAUGUAAAUGCUGACAAGCUUAGCAUGCAAAAUGAAAGAGAGGGGACAAUCUUUCUUUCUGACAUAUCUCUGAGCUCAAUUUUUGCGACCAAUUGUUGCAGUCUGUACAAAAGUAAGUUGUUUACUUUCCUUCGACUUCUGCAUGACUGGAGUUUAAUAAUAUCUGUAAUGCUGAGGUUUACAUUUCUCAGGUCAGUUUGUUGGGAAAUUCCAUGACUGGAGAAGGGUAAGUUUCCAUUUUAAAAAUAAUGCCAAAAACUAUAAAUAUUUUGGAUAUCUACAACCCACACGAAGCACUGAAGCGAACAAGGAGUUGGGUUUUGUGUUGUCACAAAAACGCGUCAACACAACAGGGUUCCUCAGUAAUGAUAAACUUAUACGUUCUCAAGUGUAAACUAACUCAAGCGGGAGACGAGGACUUCAUACAGAUUAAAGCUAACAUCAACUGUUCCUGUGGUCAGCACAGUAUAGGAAAAAGGGUGAUGUACUGUCCCAAAAAGGAGUUCACUAUCUCUUUGUCCACUUCAUUCAAUUGUUGAAUGGGAUCAUGUAUAAGGGAAAUCUAAUAGAAAUCAUAUACAGGUGAACAAGAAGAAGCCUCGCUGCUAAGGUGAUUAUGUAUGUUGGCAUCACUACUCCGAGAUUGCUUUGGAGUAAUUUUUUAUCAGGUUUUUCAUCAGGUCAUCACGUUGCAGGGACGGCAAUAAUAUCACACAUCUUCCUAACCUUAGAAUUUUUUGGAGCAAUUUGCCUGCCAACACAAUGUAUUGCCUCUCAAUAAGGAUCACCACCACAAAUUUUCUAUUAGCGAUUUAAUUAUUUGCGUAUGUUAAAUACCAUUCUAAAUUAAGUAUCUUUUAACAGAAAUUCGCUGCGCACUAAUCAGAAAUAUGACUUUUGGAGCAGCAUUGGUAAUUCGUGUACUUGGUCACAACAAGGAUCCUGCAAUGUUCAAACGAUUUAUCAUCGGAUUUGCUGUUUCUCAUAUGCGUGGAAUAGCCAUUAAGAAUUAAGAAAUGUGGAAUUUUCUUUAUUUAAGCAACUUGAUUCAAAGUCCUUCAAAAAUAUUCUCGCCACCUUUUACAAGCUUAAAGUUGUUGGGUGUUUUAUUAACAAAAAAGAUGAGAAGGUGCAAAAUUCCUUACCCUUUCAUCUCAAUUUCCCAUGUGACACACUAUGGAAUUUAAUAUGUCGACAUAUGUCUGAGUCAUAAAUUUCAAUUAUGUAUUACAACUACAUUGCCAUUGCGACAACACACAUACCUCAUAUGUAUUGAUAACAUUGUUUUUUUUACAGAUCUUUGGACCCAAUUGGGGUGAUUCAUUGAAAUAAAUCUAUCUAUCUUACAGACCUGCCGUGUAUGCCAUUACCACCAUAGUUCCAUUAGGAUGUGAUCCACACUAUGCAUAAUAUGUAACUCGCCAAGGCAUAUAAACGUUCUGGCAACGUUCUUUACACGAGUCAUAUAUCUCAUCACACAACUUUCUCCUCUGUUAGACGUAAUACCCGGAGAGAGUAAGCAAAACACGACUGACACAGACCACUAGCAACCAAAGACUAACUUUAGUAUGUUGGGUGCAGCAGUAAUGUUAACAAUCCCCACCAUAGCGUUUUAAAAAAAUUGUUAACAAUUUUGUUAGACACAAAGUACAAGUAACAUUGCUUUUCAAACUGAAUAACUUGUCCUUUAUAAAAUUUAGCACAAAAUACUGCAAGAACUGCACUUGUUGGAUGCAGUGGAAGUUCAUGUACGUGCACCGCAAUUCUUACCACUACGGUCUUAACCAAACAUAUAUAACUAACCUGUAUUAAUCGUGGCAUAAACCACUGCACUAUAUUAUACUGCAUUUAAAACCAGAGUAUAUACACUAAAUGGCAGAUUAUUGAUUAAUUAAGCCACCGAUCUGAGUGAACAAAUCACCAUUGCAGUUUGCUUAACCAUGGCUCAAGCAAUAUUUGGGAAGUAGAUCGUGGUGAAGAAGCCGGUUGUUCAGAUGCAUACUCACUGUCGCAAUGUGGAGUCGCAAGCGACUCCAGUAAGGUCCCAUAUCCACCCACUCUGGGCACUGGAGGUUCCGUCGGGUAUGAUUUACGAAGGUAAGUAUUCUAAAUAUCAUUGGUCGCUAUUGUAGAAUACUUAAAUACAGAACAGAAAUACAGAUAUUAGAAUACUUACUUACUUACUUAUAAUCCUGAUAGUUUUACUGUGAUUACUAAUUUUUGAAUUUUUGUUUAAUUAACAGCGUGUGCCGGAGAAAGUAAUGAACACAACCAACUCACCCGGAUCGCAACACCAGACUGACUUUAUUUGAGGGAGGUGCAGCAGUAAUGCUAACACCCCCUAUGCCGCGGUUAUAAAAUAAUUGUUCACAAUUAUUUUAAAUGUUUAAAUGAUUAAUACAAUGCUUUUCCAACACAAAACACGCUAUAUAUAUAAAAGUAGCGAUAAAUCGUAAUGAAAUGAAUAAAGUACAUAGGCACAUGUACUUAUAACAGAAAUCCAACUAAACAUAUGUAACGCAAUUUAUUAUUUGUCGUGGUAAAAUCCACUGCACUGUUACACUAUUAGAGGAAAUAUUGAUUAUUUCUAGAAAUGACACAGUUUGCCACUAUUUUGCAGUUCAAACUGCAAUACUACUGCAAAUGUAGGGAAGUAGGAGAGUACUGUCUACUCCAAGAAUAAAAGACACGCAUACUAAAGAAUAAACAUACAAACCACUAUAUAGGAUAGGACGAAAAAGACGGUAACAGACAGUAUAAAAGUUGAAACAAGCAUAAAACUCACAAAACCAUCGUGAAUUGUAGCACAACUUCCAGUAUUGACUGGAACAUACAUAAAAAGUGCUGACACAGCUGCAGCAUAUAAUAUCCCAGUCCAGACUGGAAUAAAAAUCCACGAGUUUAAUAUUUAAAAUAACAAAGAAAAAUGCAAGUUCCCCUUGACAUUGAACUAAUUCAAAGUGUCGUGAACUUGUUAAGACGUAUAUAUAAGGAAACAUACUCUAUAGAAACUACACACGUGCUAGAUCAAUUAGUUAGUAGUAUAAGCAAUAAUGGUGAAAGUGAAAACAACAUAAGUGAAAAAAGUGACGAGGGACUUUCUCCAAGUGUCGAAAAUAACGAAAAUACAACUGUGCCAACUGCAUCACACCAAAAAGGGGAAGAGGAAUGUAAACCAUGAAAAAAACCUUUUGCUGGUAAACGAAAGGAAUUAGGGGAACAUUGGGUAGCGAAACAGUAUAAAAUAAUCGUGACAGUAGAAAGAAAAUAUUUUUGUUUGAAUUGCCAUAAGGUAUAUACAACGAAGGAUUUUUUUAAUAAUCAUAAAUGCAAACCAAAAGAAAUCCUUACAACUGACACCACAAGAAAAGUAGUGAUAAUUAGCCCCACAAAAGCGGAUAAACUAGUAAUUUCAACCAAAUGUGAACAGAACAUAAUUAAGAAAAUAGAGAAAGAUGUACGUACCGUGAUAUUUAACAUAAUGUGUGCUUAAAAAUGACUCCUAUUAGUACAAACAAGUGUAGUGCACCAAAAAAAGUGGAUUCAACAGCAUAAAAGUAAAUGUUUUUUUUUAAAUUGAUUAAUUUAGUACGACAAAAAUUACACACACGCCUAAAUACAGAAUGACACUCUUACCAGUUUAAAAUAGACAUUUUAAGAACAAUAAGGUGCAGAAUGACUUCUGAUUUAGUCAACGACCCUCUGUGGGAUUUAAGGUAUCGGUGCCCACGAUACAACACCAAUAUAUGGUGUGAAAGGUUUAUUUACGAGCAGUAUGCUCGAUUUCGUCGGUCUGUUUCACCGACCUCAGAACUGCAAGCAGUAAACUGAGUAAUUAGCCAAAUACAGGAAUAUUCUCCAGCAACUAUUGCGGAGUUUGCAAACUGUACGCCAAUAACUUUUAAAUAAUUUUUGCCUAUAGGGCUAAGACUCCCGACGACAAAAAGAGCUCAACGCUCUUAAUAGCGAUUAAUUACUAACUAUAUAAUAAGUAGUUGUAGCGGAUACCUUCAAUAUUAUAUAUAUGUAUGUAUAUGACUGAACAUAAAGGCUAGUGAAAACUACCCUGCUGACACAGCAAAGUGAAGUGACUUAACUAAAUAAAUAAGAAAACCACUGAAAACUUAUCCUGAAGCUUUGCCCUGCUGAAACAGCACAAAUCCAUGCAAAUCAGUCAGGACAUACAUAGCACGAUUUUCAAGAAAAACAAAUUCCACUACACAAGGUCCUCUCACACACAAGAAGAAGAUGACAACUCUACUCUCCUUCGUACUUAUUGGCAUCAUAGGAAGCCAGGCAGUUACAAUGCCUUAUCCGGCCGUGACGCUCGGGAUGGGUGAGAUGGCGGCCUGCAUAGGCUGCAUCCAACGGAACAACACGUAUGCGGUCUGGGAAGCCGAGGAACAGGUCCACCCACGGGGGAGCGGCGCCCACGUGGAGGCCAUCUUGGACGAUCCAUGCCGGAUCACACAUGCCAUCUUCACCCGGAGUGCGCGGACUUCUUCCCGGCGUAGAAGAAGACGCUGGUGUCCCUCAUGAUGGGGGACAUGGGUCCCCCAUCACUGAGACUGAGUUUAUUCAAGGGAUGUGCAGCAGUAAUGCUAACAAUGCACAUACUAAUGAUAAUAGCGCCAAAAAGAUCAUAAUUCAAUCAAAUUAAUUCCAUUUACUUCCCAACAGCCAAUCAGCUCAUCCCCUUAACCAAGCCACAAUUCAAGAUGCUGAAAACCACUGUGGGGCUGCUCCUGCUCGCUCUAUCCGGUGCUCCUAGCACACAGCAAUUGCCCUCACUAACUCUCGGUUUCGGAGAGUUGAUCCAAUGUGCAGCCUGUUUGGACAGGGACCAAUCGUACAUAAUUUGGGAUGCGGAGGCACCCAUCACUGAUACAUAUAAAUAUUGACAAAUCCUGCCGUGUGGCGCAAGCCAUCCUCAUGCGUAAAUGGGACUGCUUAAGCUUCAUCCCCAAGGAAAAGCAGACCCUGCUCGCCCUCAUGGGCGGACCAGAAGUCGCAUGGGUGGAGUGGCUGGUUUGUCCACUAGGACCAGGUCUGCAAAACUAAAUUAUGAAUUCAAACUAACCUAAACAAAAUUCUAGUAGUCGCUCGGACAAAUAGCUAAAUAAAAAUAUCCUUGAGCAAGCAA